rnacentral:rRNA from 1 species
AUUGAACGCUGGCGGCAGGCUUAACACAUGCAAGUCGAGCGGAGAUGAGGUGCUUGCACCUUAUCUUAGCGGCGGACGGGUGGGUAAUGCUUAGGAAUCUGCCUAUUAGUGGGGGACAACAUUCCGAAAGGAAUGCUAAUACCGCAUACGCCCUACGGGGGAAAGCAGGGGAUCUUCGGACCUUGCGCUAAUAGAUGAGCCUAAGUCGGAUUAACUAGUUGGUGGGGUAAAGGCCUACCAAGGCGACGAUCUGUAGCGGGUCUGAGAGGAUGAUCCGCCACACUGGGACUGAGACACGGCCCAGACUCCUGCGGGAGGCAGCAGUGGGGAAUAUUGGACAAUGGGCGGAAGCCUGAUCCAGCCAUGCCGCGUGUGUGAAGAAGGCCUUUUGGUUGUAAAGCACUUUAAGCGAGGAGGAGGCUACCUGGAUUAAUACUCUAGGAUAGUGGACGUUACUCGCAGAAUAAGCACCGGCUAACUCUGUGCCAGCCGCCGCGGUAAUAC